UACGGAGGGACUAGCGUUGUUCGGGAUUACUGGGCGUAAAGCGCACGUAGGCGGAUUUGUAAGUCAGGGGUGAAAUCCGGGCUCAACCUCGGAACGUGCCUUGAUACUGCAAUCUCGAAGUCGGAAGAGGUGAGUGGAAUUCCUAGUGUAGAGGUGAAAUUCGUAGAUAUUAGGAAGAACACCAGUGGCGAAGGCGGCUC
rnacentral:rRNA from 1 species